AACGCAAAUCCUAAUACAAAUAUAAAUGCAAAUGCCAAUCAUCCCC
rnacentral:sRNA from 1 species